AUGUCAUUCAGAAGUGUUGUUGAAUCCUCAUUUUCACCUGCAAAUGUUGAAACCCCCGAUGACAACUCCACGCCACUGGGAUUUCUGCUUUCUGUCACCAUCCCUACGGCGUUGAUCUGUGCUGCACUAGGCUACUGGGUGGGCUACCCGCGUUUUAAGAACUGGCUGCAAGCAAGACGUGCUGCAGCAAUGGUGGCUCCCGGCGGUAACAUCGAGAUGCAGUAG